GAGCUGAGACAGAAUACCAAUAGUAAACCUAGCCUUCCUUUACUUUUAUGUCUGCCUAGUGAGAUGAAGGGGAAGGAGGCUUCGUUCUCCAAUUUCACAGAAGGGAAACUGAGGCACCGGGAAUAGGGUUUUCCUGAGAGCACAUAUCUCACUGCAGACCGGUCAGGACCGAACCCAGGGCUGUGCCAGGCAUAUAUAUCAUCUUUUUUUUUCUAGUUUUGUGUUUUUAUCGGGGUUUAUCAUGGGCAGGAGCUGCCACCUUAAGGAACACUUAUGCUGCUAGUAGCCAUCUCUUCAAGAUCACUGUCCUAUAUCAUCUUCCUGGACUGCAUGUGCUUCCGCUCCAGAGCGCCUCACCUCUCCGUGGGCCUCCUACAAAGUAACACAGUCUUCCGGCAAAUACCAUGAAGAAGAACAGAGGACUGUGCAGCUCUGGAGAUGAGUCUCAGAAUGGCUCUGCUGUCAGUCAUUUACCCUGUAGCGGAACUUGAAACGACUUCAGAUAUCUGGAUCCCCCUCUCGGUUCGAGGCUCUGAGAGGGACAGUGGCCACAAGGUAUACCCAUCAGUAUGGAGAAAGCUGAGAAAGGCCUUGCCACAGGCCUGAGUCGUGGCCUCCCUGGCUCUGAUGCCUGCUUCUAGUACAUCUCACGGGACGGGUGAGACAUCAAUGUGUCCCAUCUGCUGGAAAAGCAACUACCAGAGAAUCCUGCCAGGUCUCUCUUCAGGUGCCGUGG
rnacentral:sRNA from 1 species